CCUACGGGGGGCAGCAGUGAGGAAUAUUGGUCAAUGGGCGUAAGCCUGAACCAGCCAAGCCGCGUGAGGGAUGAAGGUUCUAUGGAUCGUAAACCUCUUUUAUAAGGGAAUAAAGUGUGGGACGUGUACUAUUUUGUAUGUACCUUAUGAAUAAGGAUCGGCUAACUCCGUGCCAGCAGCCGCGGUAAUACGGAGGAUCCGAGCGUUAUCCGGUUUUAUUGGGUUUAAAGGGUGCGUAGGCGGGAUUUUAAGUCAGGGGUGAAAGGCGUUGGCUUAACCAUGGAAUUGCCGUUGAGACUGGGGGGCUUGAGUAUGGUUGAGGCAGGCGGAAGGCGUGGUGUAGCGGUGAAAUGCUUAGAUA
rnacentral:rRNA from 1 species